UACGUAGGGUGCGAGCGUUGUCCGGAAUUACUGGGCGUAAAGAGCUCGUAGGUGGUUUGUCGCGUUGUUCGUGAAAACUCACAACUCAAUUGUGGGCGUGCGGGCGAUACGGGCAGACUGGAGUACUGCAGGGGAGACUGGAAUUCCUGGUGUAGCGGUGGAAUGCGUAGAUAUCGGGAGGAACACCUAUGGCGAAAGCACCUGCCUGGGCCUCUAUUGACGCUAAGACUCGAAAGCUGGGGGAGCAAACAGG
rnacentral:rRNA from 1 species